CCUACGGGAGGCAGCAGUGGGGAAUAUUGCACAAUGGGCGCAAGCCUGAUGCAGCCAUGCCGCGUGUGUGAAGAAGGCCUUCGGGUUGUAAAGCACUUUCAGCGGGGAGGAAGGCGUUAAGGUUAAUAACCUUGUCGAUUGACGUUACCCGCAGAAGAAGCACCGGCUAACUCCGUGCCAGCAGCCGCGGUAAUACGGAGGGUGAAGCGUUAAUCGGAAUUACUGGGCGUAAAGCGCACGCAGGCGGUCUGUCAAGUCGGAUGGGAAAUCCCCGGGCUCAACCUGGGAACUGCAUUCGAAACUGGCAGGCUAGAGUCUUGUAGAGGGGGGUAGAAUUCCAGGUGUAGCGGUGAAAUGCGUAGAGAUCUGGAGGAAUACCGGUGGCGAAGGCGGCCCCCUGGACAAAGACUGACGCUGAGGUGCGAAAGCGUGGGGAGCAAACAGGAUUAGAUACCCGGGUAGUC
rnacentral:rRNA from 1 species